rnacentral:lncRNA from 1 species
UGUUGACGGCUUACAAUUCGAGACGGAGAGGAUGAGGCGGAGAGGAAGAAGCAGAGAUGAUGAGAGAAAUUAGGUUUCGUGAAUUGGGGAAAUCUAGAUCUACGGUUUUGUCUUUUGGCUUCUUUUUUUUUAAAAAAAUUGUCGUAAUACGGGACAGGUGUAGAUAUGGGUUAACUCAGUAUAGUUAAAGGCAAAGUGUGGUUGGGUUAGGGCAGAGGGUAUAUGUGAGAUUGCAGCCAAAUAAAGUGUGUCACAUGGACAUUGUGUCUGAUUGUGUAAUAUGAAAGACAAAA